rnacentral:rRNA from 1 species
GUCGAGAAUAAUUCACAAUGGGGGCAACCCUGAUGGUGCAACGCCGCGUGGAGGAUGAAGGUCUUCGGAUUGUAAACUCCUGUCAUCCGGGAGCAAGACCUGGCCGUGAAUAGCGGACAGGGUUGAUAGUACCGGAAGAGGAAGGGACGGCUAACUUCGUGCCAGCAGCCGCGGUAAUACGAAGGUCCCGAGCGUUGUUCGGAAUCACUGGGCGUAAAGGGAGCGUAGGCGGCGCGGUAAGUCAGAUGUGAAAUCCGAGGGCUCAACCCUGGAACUGCAUCCGAUACUGCUGUGCUUGAGCAAUGGAGAGGUAGCCGGAAUUCUCGGUGUAGCAGUGAAAUGCGUAGAUAUCGAGAGGAACACUCGUGGCGAAAGCGGGCUACUGGACAUUUGCUGACGCUGAGGCUCGAAGGCCGGGGGAGCGAAAGGGAUUAGAAACCCGGGUAGUCC